AACGCUAGCUACAGGCUUAACACGUGCAAGUCGAGGGGCAGCAUGAACAAAGCUUGCUUUGUUUGAUGGCGACCGGCGCACGGGUGCGUAACACGUAUCCAAUCUGCCCGCGGCCCGGGGAUAGCCCAUCGAAAGAUGGAUUAAUACCCGAUGGCGUGGUCACUCCGCAUGGGGUUUCCACUAAAGGUAUUCCGGCCGCGGAUGAGGAUGCGUAUGAUUAGGUAGUAGGCGGGGUAACGGCCCACCUAGCCUUCGAUCAUUAGGGGUUCUGAGAGGAAGGUCCCCCACACUGGAACUGAGACACGGUCCAGACUCCUACGGGAGGCAGCAGUGAGGAAUAUUGGUCAAUGGGCGAGAGCCUGAACCAGCCAAGUAGCGUGAAGGACGACUGCCCUACGGGUUGUAAACUUCUUUUGUUCGGGAAUAAAGUGCAGUACGCGUACUGUUUUGUAUGUACCGUUCGAAUAAGCAUCGGCUAAUUCCGUGCCAGCAGCCGCGGUAAUACGGAAGAUGCGAGCGUUAUCCGGAUUUAUUGGGUUUAAAGGGAGCGUAGGCGGGCUGUUAAGUCAGCGGUUAAAUGUCAUGGCCCAACCUUGGCAUGCCGUUGAAACUGUCGGUCUUGAAUACACACAAGGGAGACGGAAUUCGUCGUGUAGCGGUGAAAUGCUUAGAUAUGACGAAGAACUCCGAUUGCGAAGGCAGUCUCCUGGGGUGCGAUUGACGCUGAGGCUCGAAAGUGCGGGUAUCGAACAGGAUUAGAUACCCUGGUAGUCCGCACAGUAAACGAUGAAUGCUGGUCAUUGGCGGCAUACUGUCAGUGACUGAGGGAAACCAUUAAGCAUUCCACCUGGGGAGUACGCCGGCAACGGUGAAACUCAAAGGAAUUGACGGGGGCCCGCACAAGCGGAGGAACAUGUGGUUUAAUUCGAUGAUACGCGAGGAACCUUACCCGGGCUUGAAAUGUGCAUGACGGCGGAGAGAGAGCUCCGCCUCCUUCGGGCAUGCAUGUAGGUGCUGCAUGGUUGUCGUCAGCUCGUGCCGUGAGGUGUCGGCUUAAGUGC
rnacentral:rRNA from 1 species